AUCCCUCCUUGGGAAAUCACAUUUGCCACCCUCAUGGGGAGCAGCCCUAUGAACCAUGUGAUGAUGGCUUCUCAGCACCCACCUGACUGCAACAAUGAUUAGGAGCCUCAAGUAACAAGAUAACUCAUUGGCUGACUGGUGGCCUUUCAGAUUUUCUUUUAUUGAGUAAUUCAACCAACAGGCCAGAGGCUGUAGUCAUUCAGUGGUGAGUAUUUGAGCUGAAAGCUCAUAUAGACUUGAGAUGAAGUUUGCAACAUGACGAAGGGGAAGCCACAGCACAUGUAAGUCAGAGUUUUGGGAGAGCACAUAAACUGUGAUUGAGAACAAGAGGAAGCCGGCUGUUAGGCCAAGGAGAGCGUGACUCAGCCCUGCAGGAAGGAGGGAGCUGGAGUGGUUUCUGAUUCAUGCAACCAGUGACAUACGCUGACUAUAACUCCAUGGUUCGAUCUGCUAUCGAGGUCCAGUCUCAUGUCAGUCAUAAAAGCCGGGAAUCAAGACCCAGAGUCAGGGAAGAGAAGGAGAACUCAUUGUCCAGAACUGGAAUUAGUUACCAGGCCUCAUCUAAGCACAAGAGAAGCAGCUCGUACAUUCUGCCAGGUAGUACCAUUCUACUAGGGACCCAGAAGGGACUUCGAGGAGGACAGAAACAUCUAAAGAGCAGCAGUAGUGGCUGUCACAUCUUGAAAAGCACAUGAUGUACACAAGUAGAAAAGAUGCCGAAUUCCAUUGGAAAGGAAGUCAUAACUGAGCUGGAUAUUGAAAGACAAGGUCCACCACGCCCUGCGAAGGACGUGUGCAGAGGCCAAAGGUGAGGAGGAGGCUGGGGUAUUGGUGGGAGUGGCAGGAAACGCUGGUGGCUGCAC
rnacentral:lncRNA from 1 species